rnacentral:tRNA from 1 species
GGCCCCAUCGUCUAGCCCGGUCUAGGACACCAGGUUCUCAUCCUGGGAACAAGGGUUCGAAUCCCUUUGGGGUCA